UAUUUAAGUAAUUUAUUUUAAAAUAUCAAUUUGUGGUGUUGAAAAUGUAAUUGUUUACCUUAGAU
rnacentral:tRNA from 1 species